rnacentral:rRNA from 1 species
GACGAACGCUGGCGGCGUGCUUAACACAUGCAAGUCGAACGGUGAAGCCCUUCGGGGUGGAUCAGUGGCGAACGGGUGAGUAACACGUGAGCAACCUGCCCCUGGCUCUGGGACAACCACUGGAAACGGUGGCUAAUACCGGAUACGACCCGCCUCGGCAUCGAGUGUGGGUGGAAAGUUUUUCGGCUGGGGAUGGGCUUGCGGCCUAUCAGCUUGUUGGUGAGGUGAAGGCUCACCAAGGCGACGACGGGUAGCCGGCCUGAGAGGGCGACCGGCCACACUGGGACUGAGACACGGCCCAGACUCCUACGGGAGGCAGCAGUGGGGAAUAUUGCACAAUGGGCGAAAGCCUGAUGCAGCGACGCCGCGUGAGGGAUGACGGCCUUCGGGUUGUAAACCUCUUUCAGCUCCGAAGAAGCGAAAGUGACGGUAGGAGCAGAAGAAGCACCGGCUAACUACGUG